GCUCCUGCUUGUGGUCAAUAGGUGUAUCCGCAUUAAUGAAAUAAACACAAGGUGGACGCGCAGUCAGUCGUGUGAACAGCGAAGAGAGAUUUAAGAGAUUUAAAUGUUCUCGAGGAGAUUUUACGACACGUUUGAUUUUGUGAGUGUCUCGAGCGGCAGAAGCUCGAGAUCAGCUUUAAACUGAUGGAUUAAAACAGAUGAACUGGAAAGCUCAUGUAAACACACUCAGGAGUGAAUGGGGAAUCCUCCGAGACUCUGGUGAUGAAGAAGAUGUAAAGCUCUGGGUCUAUGGAUGGUUCAAGAUAGAUGAGUCAAUGACAAUCACUCAUUUCUCAGCACAGGUUAAACCACAGCCAAACUUCAGAGGGUUGCAAGUUUCAGCAAGUUGUUUUGACCUUCAUUCAUUCUCUGGAUAUAAACUCUAGAUAUCAACAAUCAGCAUUCUUCACAUCAAGACUUCAUAUCCUGUUAAGCAAAUGCAAUAUCAGGAAUUGAACUGAAUUUCAACCAGUAAAGCUGCAGUCACUAGAGUUUGAGCAUGUGAGAUUCUGUCAUACGGCACUGAAAAGAGGCGGGAUAAAAGAAGAGGAUUGGAGAAUGAUAAAGCGAGCGACUGCCCCAUAUUUAACAUUUCUGUACAGAGAUGUCAUGUUUUAAUCUUCUAUUUCUCUCACACAAUCAUGUGAUGUGAAUUUACCAGUCACCAAUCUUGAACCUUUAAAUGCAGCAACAUCUGUCCUUCGGAUGAGACGUUAAACAGAGGUCCUGACUCUUUUUCUAAAGAGUAGGGGUGUAAUCCCGGUGUCCUGGAUAAAUUCCCUCCAUCGGCCCUUACCCAUCAUGGCCUCCCAAUCAUCCCCAUCUACAGAACUGGCUCUAUUACUGUCUCUCCACUCCCCCUAUAGCUGGUGUGUGGUGAAGCACUGGCGCCGUUAUCCUGUGGCUUUCAUCACAUCAUGGGUGCUGCACUCUGGUGGUGGUGCGGAGAUCCCUCAUGAUUGUGAAGUGGUUUGGGUGUAUUGCCAUACAGAAAAAUGCGCUAUAUAAAUACACAUUACAUUGCAUGAGAAACUUAUCACACCAGCUUGCGUUUCCAGUCUGCUGCAUGCAUAUGCAUCUGGAUGGAAGUCUAUGGGACAAAAAGAGCAGUUUUGAUCGCGGCUUAGGAAAUAUAGUUCUUGAUAUCUGUAACUGUAUUCUUACUAGUUAAAUGUCAGCAUAGGACGCCAUUCACAUUUAAUUGUUGAUAAUAAGAUGUCGUUUCCUGAAAAUGAAUAAAAAACAAAAUGGCUAGCUAUGGUCACUGCAGGAUCUGUCACGCUGCUCACGCUGCCUAGUGGAGAUUGUGGAGAACUUUGACAAGUCAUAAGUGAGAAGAUUGUAGAUUAAUAUUCAUAAAUUGGCGAACUAAACUGUGAUUUUAGUAUAUUCUCAAUUUUAUUUUCACAUGGAUUGGGUAAUGUUCACUUAUUUUUGCUGUUGAAUCACUGUUGGUAUUUAAAGCAAUGUUUGACUGCUUACUGAGUGC